rnacentral:rRNA from 1 species
UACGUAGGGGGCAAGCGUUGUCCGGAUUUAUUGGGCGUAAAGAGCGUGUAGGCGGCCAUGUAGGUCCGUUGUGAAAACUCGAGGCUCAACCUCGAGACGCCGAUGGAAACCAUGUGGCUAGAGUCCGGAAGAGGAGAGUGGAAUUCCUGGUGUAGCGGUGAAAUGCGCAGAGAUCAGGAAGAACACCCGUGGCUAAGGCGGCUCUCUAGUACGGUACUGACGCUGAGACGCGAAAGCGUGGGGAGCGAACAGG